GGAGAGGUGUGGGGUACUCUAGGGGUAGGGGUAAAAUCCUGUCAUCCUUAGAGGACCACCAGUUGCGAAGGCGCCACACUGGAACGGAUCCGACGGUCAGGGACGAAGCCUAGGGGCACGAACCGGAUUAGAUACCCGGGUAGUCCUAGGUGUAAACGCUGUGAACUUGGUGUCGGGGAUCCGUAAUGGGUCCUCGGUGCCGGAGUGAAGAUGUUAAGUUCACUGCCUGGGGAGUACGGUCGCAAGGCUGAAACUUAAAGGAAUUGGCGGGGGAGCACUGCAACGGGAGGAGCGUGCGGUUUAAUUGGAUUCAACGCCGGAAAACUCACCAAGGCCGACGGACAAAUGAAGAUCAACGUAACGAGUUUAUUGGAUUGUCCGAGAGGUGGUGCAUGGCCGUCGUCAGUUCGUACUGUAAAGCGUUCUGUUAAGUCAGAUAACGAACGAGACCCUCAUCUCUAUUUGCUACCCUGUUCUCCGGAACAGGCGCACUAUAGAGAGACCGCUGGUGUGAAACCAGAGGAAGGCGAGGGCAACGACAGGUCAGUAUGCCCCGAAUGUCUUGGGCUACACGCGCGCUACAAAGGACAGGACAAUGGGAUGCUAGGCCGAGAGGCAUUCACGCUAACCCGAAACCUGUUCAUAGUUCGGAUUGAGGGCUGUAACUCGCCCUCAUGAAGCUGGAUUCCGUAGUAAUCGUGUUUCAAUAUAGCACGGUGAAUAUGCCCCUGCUCCUUGCACACACCGCCCGUCAAACCAUCUUAGUUGGGGGUGGGUGAGGCUGCGCUGUAUGGCGUAUUCGAGCCUGCCUUCGACAAGGAGGGUUAAGUCGUAACAAGGUAUCUGUAGGGGAACCUGCAGAUG
rnacentral:rRNA from 1 species